rnacentral:lncRNA from 1 species
AUGCAGGAGAACCCAGUUCUUUCUACCCCUGGGAGACAAAUGUGUCAUUCUCCAGCAACUUCACCAGGCCGAGCCUCUAACCUGCAGAGACUGCCCUGUUCUCCCCAGUCCCCUUCGCAUUUGGAGAUACCACGGUGCAAGGGGAAGCUCAAGGCGAUGGGCUGGAGGUCUGUCUGGAUCAUUUGGAGGCCUGCAUUUCAGGACUUGCACUGUAGGAAUCACUUCCGUGGUCCAGGAAGAGUAGGCUGGGAUCUGGAGCUUCUAUCCCUUGCUAGUGGAGUGGGAUCCUCAGAAGCUCCCUCUGAGCUACUGCCAAUGUUCCUGCCAAGGACAUCAAUUCCAGGAUCCUGGCAAAGACCUGUUUGGAGCCCUGCGUGAUCGGUGCAGUCGCCUCGCCUGCGUCCUGCUCCCUCACUGGGAAGCAAAGUCUGCGAGAGACUGGCCAGACCGGCUGGACGGUUGCCUUUGAGCCCCAUCCUGUUGUGAGGACUGGCAAAAACGACCCCACGUCAGCCUUGGCUCCAGCCCCGAGGUGCCUGCCAGCCCGGUGGCAGACCCUACCCCUGCCAAUCACGGUCCCCUUGGUGACUCUGUUCCUGAGCUCGCCAAAAGCAGAAUCCGUGUAUAAUGAACAAGUUUCAUGUUCAACAUUUUAAGAGUCUAUUUAUGAAUCCCGAUAAUUAGCCCUUUGUCUGCAAUUCUGGCGAUGAUGAUUAGAACUCCAUCUCACGUUAUUAGCGUCGCCCCCCCAACCCAUCCUCCUUGCCCUCAGGAUGGCAAACGCGAAGGUACCUGAAAGGCAAAGGAGAGGGGCAGUUUGGGGGGUUCAAGAUCUCUUCCCCGACUUACCCUCCGGCAUCCUUCUUUCUUUGAUCCAUUUUUCCUCUGACUUCCUCUGAUUUCAGACUUCAUAGUCUCCCUAGCUUUUGUUCUUAAACUUGUUCCUCUGCUUAACUCUCACUCUCACCUCCCAAGGUUGCAUUUUUUACCUAAUGUCUUCCACAUGAUAUUUGUACCUUUGGCAGAAUCCCAUCAGGAUGCUAUGAGGUUUAAGAAUCUUUCCAAACGAAUCAUUCCCAGAAUCAAAAUAUUAUGAGGGAGGCCAAAUUAUCUCUAAUUAUAACCUCCAGAAAACUAGAGAACUUUCCCAAUGAACAGAACCAGGGGAAGCAACCUACAGAAAUAUUUGCAAGAAAAGUAAUAUUCUUUUUUUUUAAAGCGAUCAAAUCAUGUAAGCAUACAAAUAAAU